rnacentral:rRNA from 1 species
AACAUUGGACAAUGGGGGCAACCCUGAUCCAGCCAUGCCGCGUGUGUGAAGAAGGUCUUCGGAUUGUAAAGCACUUUAAGUUGGGAGGAAGGGCUUUAGGCUAAUACCCUGAAGUUUUGACGUUACCAACAGAAUAAGCACCGGCUAACUCUGUGCCAGCAGCCGCGGUAAUACAGAGGGUGCAAGCGUUAAUCGGAAUUACUGGGCGUAAAGCGCGCGUAGGGUGGUCAGGAAGAUGGGUGUGAAAUCCCCGGGGUUAACCCGGGAACUGCUUUCAAAACUGCUGAGGUAGAGUAAGGGAGAGGGUAGUGGAAUUUCCUGUGUAGCGGUGAAAUGCGGAGAAAUAGGAAGGAAAACCAGUGGGGAAGGCGAAUACCUGGACUGAUACUGAAACUGAGGUGGGAAAGGGGGGGGAGCAAAC